rnacentral:lncRNA from 1 species
GUUGACUGCAGGUAACUGAAACUGCGGAAAGUGAAACUGCAGAUAAGAGGGACCACUGUAAAUAAGUGACAUGAAUGAUACUGCAAAGGACCAUAGCCUAACCAGCCAAGCAAACUGGAAGUACCUUUAGACUCACGCUUUGCCAAGCUCAGUUCCAGAAUCACAUGAUGAAAAGAAUGAUGGAAAGAAAAUGUUUGUGAUAUUAAAAUUAAGGAAAUUACUCCAACUCAGAGCUUUGAAUCUUGACAGAGUGUUGCAAAGACAGAAGAAAUGGUAAAGUUUCAUUUCCUUAUUUUUGGCAACUGGAAGACAAAUUGCCUACUUGUUCCAA